ACUUUUGGCUCUUUCAGCGAACAAUGGCAGCCUUUUUAACUCCUUUUAUCAAAAUCUAGCUUGUUUCUUUUCCUGAUCACUUGAGCAUAAUGAAGAUGGAACCUGUGAACAGUGCCAGAAGCAGAUGUUCCCUUCAAAUGAAAGAAGACUGACCCAGGCUUAGCAGUGUCUGCCACAGUCGAUUUAUUUUUUUAAAAAAAAGUCAUAGAAGCGGACGAAAAGUAGCACAUGGACAGCAGGCAGAGAAGAAAAAAAAAAUCAGCAACAACGAAAAGAAAAACAAAGAUCUGUUCUAAUUAGGUUUCCUCAGACACAAAUUACAUUGCACAAAACCGUAGGAUGAAAACUAUUUAGAAACAAAGCAAGAAAAUAUAAACAGAAUCAACAGUGUCUAAACAGUAUUCAAAGUAAUUAAUGCAACCAGGAAGCAGAUUGCAAUAGGCUUCAAGAGCAGAUUUAAAGAGAAGGCUGACUUUACAGCCCUUAAAGAGACAUUGCCAUGAUUUGCCUUGCAUUCUACAGAUGAAUAAAACACAAAUCCUAAUGAAUAAAACAUAGUGAACAUAA